AGUCGNANAGGUUUCCGUAGGUGAACCUGCGGAAGGAUCAUUGUCGAGACCCGCAAAGCAGACCCGCGAACGUGUGUUUAACCAACGGGGGGCCGGGGCGAGGGCGACCGAGCCUCGUCCCCCCGCCCGCCCGCUCGGCGCCUGCGUCGUUCGGGCCAACGAACCCCGGCGCGGAACGCGCCAAGGAAAACGAAACAGGAAGCGCCCGCCCCCCGCUGCCCCGUCCGCGGGCGCCUGCGGGGGAGCGCGGCCUCUCUUGAAAUGUCAAAACGACUCUCGGCAACGGAUAUCUCGGCUCUCGCAUCGAUGAAGAACGUAGCGAAAUGCGAUACUUGGUGUGAAUUGCAGAAUCCCGUGAACCAUCGAGUCUUUGAACGCAAGUUGCGCCCGAAGCCAUCAGGCCGAGGGCACGUCUGCCUGGGCGUCACGCAUCGCGUCGCCCCCUCCCCAUCCCGCGAGGGAUGCCGGGACGGGGGCGGAGAUUGGCCUCCCGUGGGCGCGAGCCCGCGGCCGGCCCAAAUGCGAUCCCGCGUCGACGGAUGUCACGACCAGUGGUGGUUGGAAUCUCAACUCGCGUGCUGUCGUGCACGGCUCCGUCGCCCGCCAGGGCAUCGUCGAGACCCAACGGCGCGCCCGCCCGGCGCGCCUUCGACCGCGACCCCAGGUCAGGCGGGACCACCCGCUGAGUUUAAGCAUAUCAAUAAGCGGAGGAAAAGAAACUUACAAGGAUUCCCCUAGUAACGGCGAGCGAACCGGGAACAGCCCAACUUGAGAAUCGGGCGGCCCCGCCGUCCGAAUUGA
rnacentral:rRNA from 1 species